rnacentral:lncRNA from 1 species
CCGUGUCCUGGACACCCCCUGCCAAGAGAGGCAUGUCUAAGGGCUCUGCCCAUCUCAGGUCACGGGUGAUGUGUCAGAAGUGGGGAGCUCUGUCCAUUAGGAAGAGAGGCUAACAGACUGCCUAUAACUGACAGGAAAAGGAAACUAGAAGCCAAGGUGUUGAGGGGCCUGGGUGAGACACAGGGUGUACAGAGUCUUCAUAAGAAGUUCAAGAACAGGAGCUCCCAUCGUGGCUCCGUGGAAACGAAUCCAACUAGGAACCAUGAGGAUGUGGGUUCAAUACCUGGCUUCACUCCGUGGGUUCAGGAUCCAGUGCUGUCGUAAGCUCUGUAGGGUAGGUAACAGACGCGGCUCGGAUCUGGCGUUGCUGUGGCUGUGGUGUAGGCCGGCGGCAAAGUGCCCUAGCCUGGGAACCUCCAUAUGCCAUGGGUUCAGCCCUCCAAAAAAAGACCAAAGACAAAAAAAAAAGAAGAAGAAGACAUUCAAGAAUAGUCACUAAGUGAUGUGAGGACAAGCUGGGAUGAUGGAGCAGGAGGUGGGGAGCAAGGUAGGAUGGCGUACUGAUGGGGAGGGGACGAGGAGGCCUUCUGGAGCGAUGGAAAUGCUACAUAUCUUCAUCUGGAUGGUACUUACACAGGCGCAUACAGACGGAAAAUUACAUCAGCUACCCAGUACAUUUAAAGACCUGUGGACUUCACUAUACAUAAAUUUUAUCUCAACAAUAAAAGAAAAAAAGAGCAAUGGAAGAGGGGAAAGACCUCUCACAGAUGCCCAUAAAUCAAGAAGCGGGCCCUGACACCGGUUCUCUGGGAGAGCUUAAAAAGAGGCAGAAAGGCCAAUGAGGUGUGAGACCCUUACUCCCAAAUGAGCCAUAGAACUGAUUUCAAAGUUACCCCGCAGGUGGCCAAGUUCAAGUGCAAAUACACCACUGAAUAUAUGCCCAUGGAAGAAGCCUUGAAGGCAGGAAGUAAGAACGACUUUAAAGCACCAUAGCCUUCUUCAUAGCCCUUUAGCUUCAGCUGUCCCAGUUCAUCCUCACAGCCACCCUGGGAAUGGCUGUUAAGUCUCCUACAUAGAGUGGAAUAAACAGAGGCCCAGAGAAGUUCAAGGACUUGCCAAGGUCACAUUGGCCGCGCUAGGACGCAAAUCUCCGCAUGAGUUACCAAGUCCAUGCCCUUUGCUUCUGCACAUGCCCCUCCCACACCAUCCUGCACUUAAAAGCAAUGCAGAGGAGUUCCUGUCAUGGCUCAGUGGUUAACGAAUCCCGACUAGGAACCAUGAGGUUGUAGGUUCGAUCCCUGGCCUUGCUCAGUGGGUUAAGGAUCCAUCGUUGCCGUGAGCUGUGGUGUAGGUCGCAGACGCAGCUCAGAUCCCAAGUUGCUGUGGCUCUGGCGUAGGCCAGUGGCUACAGCUCCGAUUAGACCCCUAGCCUGGGAACCUCCAUAUGCCGCAGGAGCUGCCCUAGAAAAGGCAAAAAGACAAAAACAAAAAUAAAUAAAUAAAUAAUAAAAGCAAUGCAGACAUGUGGAUUCUUAUCUUUAACAAUAACCAAUUACUAGAGACAGUCAUUUUACCCAAAUUGAUUUGGAGAUGGUGCUAAUAGCCAGGAUUUUCUUCAGUAAAAUCUCUAUUCUCAAGAGUCAGCAGUCUUGGAGUUCCCACUGUGGUGCAGUGGGUUAAGAAUCUCACUAUAGCAGCCUGAGUCACUACUGGACCUGUAAAUUCAAUCCCUAGCACAGCACAGUGGGUUAAAAGGAUUCAGCAUUGUCGGAGUUCCCAUCAUGGCUCAGUGGUAACAAACCUAACUACUAUCCAUGAGGACGUGGGUUCGAUCCCUGGCCUCCUCAGUGGGUUAAGGAUCUGGCAUUGCCAUGAGCUGUGGUGUAGGUUGCGGACGUGGCUCAGAUCUCGCGUUGCUGAGGCUGUGGAGUAGGCUGGCGGCUACAGUUCCGAUUAGACCCCUAGCCUGGGAACCUCCAUAUGCCAUGGGAGCAGCCCUAGAAAAGGCAAAAAAAAAAAGAAAGAAAAAAGAAAAAAAAAGAGGAUAUCUCUUACCUUUUACAGAUUUUAUGACAAACCCCAAAGGAAGAUGGGACAAUGCCAGGGGUUUUCCAUCCUUUGUCCAGAACCUCAGGUCUCCUCAGACAGGCAGAGGGUGGACCUGACAGCUUGAGCCAGUAGAUUGAUGGUAACACAGGAAAUCAGACAGACUGUGAGGGACUGUUACUGCUACGCUAAAGCCAUCUCCCCCUGCUCCUCACUAGAGACUCUGGUUUUAUUCAAGCCCCAGAAGAUGAAUCAUGACUAAGUUAAAGCCAACACAGUAAAUUCGUUUGCUGUUCCCAGGUUCUCACUUUCUGGUUCCUACGUAAUCAGGAUAUAGUCCUAGCCAAUGAGACAUAAAGACAAAUCUGCUUCCUGAUUAAAGAGAUAGAAACUACUCCCUUCCUCUACCUUCCUGCCUUGAAUACGCUUGUAUGAGGGGAUGAUGGCUGGAGCUGUGGCAGCCAUCUUGUUAUCAAAAGGUAAUAAUCUUUUAAAAGUAAACACCAGGAAGUUUCCGUGUGGCACAGUGGGUUCAAGAUCCAGCACUGCCACAGCUAUGGCAGAUCCUGGGUCCUUGCUGACAUUUUUGAACUGUUCAUCAACUGUGGGUCAGACUUGAUACUGAGGUAAUUCAGUGUCAUUAUGAUUUAAGCCGCUGUCUAUUUGGGUCUUUUGUUAUAUGUGUCCUAUCUGUCACAGAGGGCAGAGGCAGGUAGACACCAGCUGCAGAAUUCAAAUCACAUGGAUGAGCCCAGAUAAGAUGCAGGGGCAGGCAGGCCAGGCAAAGAUCUGGAGGGCAGCAAGAGGCAAAAUUCAGAAAUCACUCAGGAAUUAUUCAGAAAUCAUUCAGCCUUUCCUGGACUACCUGGCCCAUCAGCAGCAGAAGCCUGAACCUGCUACACCCACUCACUGCUCUGAUGGUGUUCCAGGAGUCCCUCAUCAGUGAUAACCCAAAGCUGGUGCACAAAGAACUCUUGCCCUUCACAGCCUCAGAGUCACAAGGAUCUGGGGUUUUGACAUAUUGUAAUAUUGGUGAGAAGAAAGAAGCUGACUUUUUCUCUUUUUAAUUCAGCCCAAUACUAAAAAAUAUGUACACUCGGGGGUUCCCAUUGUGGCUCAGUGGAAAUGAAUCUGACUAGUAUCCAUGAGGAUGGAGGUUUGAUCCCUGGCCUCGCUCAGUGGGUUGGGGAUCUGCAUUGCCAUGAGCUGUGGGAUAGGUCGCAGACGCAGCUCGUAUCUGCAUGGCUGUGGCUGUGGCAUAGGCCAGCUGCUGCAGCUCCAACCAGAUCCCCUAGCCAGGGAGCCUCCAUAUACCAUAGGUGUGUCCCCCCGCCCUCGCCAAAAAAAUAGUAGAAAUAAAAUAACUCCCAUAAGGUUACUUAUCUCAUGCAAGAGUUAGCCUGGAAGCAAGGGUCUUCCAGAUUAUGUUAGUUUUGUGGCUCAACAAAAUGAGGGCUUGGGGUCAGCUAUCCUGGUAUUCUCUUGACUUUACCCACAUGGUGAUAAGAGGCUUGCAACAACAACGCACAGUCCAUAACAUCCAAAGACAGGAAGAGGCCUUUUGUAUCCCUUGUCUGUUGAGCCAUUAAAAUGUCCCCUGUGGAAUUGUGAUUUAUAGCAGUAAAUAUACAUCUGGCCUUCAUCCCCGUUCCUGGCACAGAGCUCAUAAUACUCUUGGAAUUUCCUAAGUGAGAAGAGCCAUAAGGUGAAAGGAGACUCUUUUGUUAUUCAUAACAAGGCCCUUUCAACCACACCCCAGCAGAUGUUUAAAAGGUGAUUUUUGGAAAGCCCCUAGAUGAACAAGCACAGGAUGGGGCUGGUUGCCAAGGGGAAGCAACCAGGUGAUUAGACAGCUGGUUCUCUCAGUCCCACCCCUCAACCUCCUGGGAGGGGAGAGGAGCUGGGGAUUGAGUUCAAUUACCAAUGGCCGAUGAUGUAAUCAAUCACGUCUAGGUGAUGAGACUCCGUAAAAAACAAGCCCUUGGAGUUCCCGUCAUGACUGAGCAGAAGCGAAUCUGACUGGCAUCCAUGAGGAUGCAGGUUCCAUCUCUGGCCUCGCUCAGUGGGUUAAGGAGCCGACAUUGCUGUGGCUGUGGCGCAGGCCAGCAGCGGCAGCUCAUUCAACCCCUAGCCUGGGAACUUCCAUUUGCUGAGAGUGAGGCCCUAAAAAAAAAAAAAAAAAAAAAAAA